ensembl:lncRNA
AUUAUUUUAAUUUUUUUUUUUUUUAUUAAUUCCUCUCCCAGCAAUGCUUUCUCCACUGGACUACAAGGCUUCCCCCCAAGCUCCAAUUCCUGACUUAGAAAGCCUCGUUGUCCUGCCUCCUUCCCAUCCUGCAUCUCCCUAAAAAAACCUCCAUAAAACAACAGCUGAGGACACCCUGUAACCCCUCCCGUAGUGUGAAGGCACCUCCUGAUGUUGGGACACCACCAAGCCAAAGCUGAAGCUGACACAUCCUCCCUCCCAAGGACGGGAGCUGGGCUUGGAGCCCGGAGAAGAGGCUUCCCUGCCAUUAAUGGGAUGAAAUAAUGCAAAAUUGAGUGGAAUUUGCUUCAUGAAUGAAGAAAACCAAAGGGCUGAGGGAUGCUCCACAUCCCACCACGGGUCAGUCCCCUUCCUGUGCCUGGGGACAAAGGAAAACCAGAGGAAGCUCAGGAAAAACUGCAUUUUUAAUGGCCUGAGAAAGCUGAUCUGUGGCCAGAGAUGGAGAGAGGUCAGAUGGGUUUGUGCAACAGCAGGGGAAGGGUGAGUGGCUCACGGGCUGACCCCUGUGAAGACUUUUUUGGGGGGUUCAUGGCUCUGCCAGAGGAGCUGGAAAAAGGCACAGGGAGGUGGGAAAAUGGAGCUGCCUCAAUUCCCAAGUUCACCCGUUUUUUUAGCAGUGAGGGUGUUUUACCAGCUGGACAACUUACAAUUGGAUCCUCUCCCAGUCUUUAAACUGAGCCCAUCUGUGUUUUUAAAUACUAAGUUUAACCCCAGAAAUGAUGAUACAGACAGAAAAAAAUCGGGCUACCGGCCACUUUCUGGAAAGGUCUGGAUUCCUUGCACUUCAUGACCCCUUGGAAAACACAAGGGACCUCUGCACCUCUCAGAAACAAACUCAGGAUGUUUGAAAAUCUGUUUGUGCCGCGUCCAGAGCGGCGCAGCAGCAGCUGAAGGUCACAAGCGCCGCGUAAACAGAAAGGAGGUUUUAUUGUGACAUGUCCAUCCGGAGCCAUCGCUCCUGGGUAUGCCAUCUGGGAUGGGAGCAGGAGCCUGUGCAUCCCCACUGCAGCAAGGAGAAAGGGAUUCUGUCCUUGCAAGGAUGGCACCACGGAAAAAGGGGCAGGGAGAAAUACCAGGUUGUAAAUUCGCUUCUAAUUUUACCGAUUUUGAAGAAAAAUCAGAGGUGUGAUGGAGCUUUGGGAUGCAAAUUCCUCCUGUGGGGUUUAAAUCACUUACCCAAGCAGGGAGAAGGAAGUUUUCACGCAUGGAGAGUGUUUCCUGUCUGGGGAGUGGUUUGCAGUGACUGUCCUUCUCAUUUGGGGACAUCAGAAGGGGGGAUGGUGCAUGCCUGGUCCAGAACAGCACCAGGAGAUGGCCUGAAACAGCCAUGAUCGCUCCAGCAACACCCUGUGGAUGUCAGGAGAGAAAGGCAGCAGCCAUGGGGGAGAAACCUCUGGAAUCUUGGUAAAAACAGUGGGAAUGAGAGACUGGGAUGGAAGAGGGGAUGUGGCUGGGCAGGUGAAGGUGCUGAUGCAAUUCCUGCCGCUCCUGAGGCAAUGAGGGAGGAGAUUUUGGCUUUCACCACUUGCAGAUAGCUCCUGGUGUUUCAGGAAAGCACUUGGAGAGGGACACAGCCUGGAAACUUCAGACAUCGUGGCUGGAUGGUGGCCAGAAAGUGUCUCAGCUCUGGGGCUGCCUGAGGUCUGUCCCAUCAGGGAAUCUGCUGUCCAAAGGAAGGAACAGUGUCUCAGGAUAGGUGAACCCCAGUGGGACCCAGGCUGGGGACCAGAGAGCUGUGAGUGCCUGGUGAGGGCCCUGUUUUGGGAAACCUGACCCUCUCCUGGGAGCAGAUCCUCUGACAGCUGCUCCAUGCUCCCCUGCUCCGUGAUCCCGCUCUUGGGGGUCUCCUUUAGCCACAAAUUCAGACCAGGAGCAGUGCCCUGCUCCCAGGACACCCCUUUUCCCAGAUCCAGGUUGUCUGCGCCUCUUUGAGCAUGAAAAAUGUGGGUAACUCCCCAAAUUCCCAUCUCCUGCUGCUGCUGGCUGGAAGGAACUUGCUGGUCCAAGGAAGAGCUGGAGCUCAGGGAUACCAGAGCCCCUGGCAGGGAAAUCCAGGGCUUCAGCAGCACAGAUGUGCUCCAGCUGUUCCCACUUCAACACAGGCUUGCUGGAUCCAUUGCUAUCUUCCCACAGGAUUAUUUUUACCAGGUGAUAAGGACGGGAUCUGCAAGUCUAUUGAAGCACCUAAAGGUGGCUUGCUGGAAACCCACGGGAAUAAAAGGAGGAGAAUCCCAGCUUUUCUUGUCA